UAUUAUUAUUAUUAUUAUUAUUAUUAUUAUUAUUAUUAUUAUUAUUAAAAAGUCGAGGUCAUUUUCGGACAGGUUGGAGGUUAGACAUUUUCCAACUUGGAACGAAGACGCUCGGAAGCCACACCAACCGCUCCUGCCCGUGCAAACUUUGUCAAACAGAGCUGCUGGAAUAAAAAAAUCGCGGCUUACCGAGCCACCCAUUUUUGGUCUAAAGUUCAGCUUGAUAGAGACAUGUCCAAAAUUCUAAUUUGCAAUUUUAAUUAAAUCAAAGUAUCAGCAGAUUAGACAUCCAAUUAACUAAGCAUUUGUAUUUAUUAGAA
rnacentral:lncRNA from 1 species